GAGGAAAGAACAAGUGAGUGCCUGUUUUUGAAGCUGGUGGAGGUAUGCAGAGGUCAGCUUGUGCCUGCCCUGGCUAGGAGCCUGGGGCCCCUUGGAUUUCGGGGAGCCUCUGGGCGGCUCCCGUUCACUCUGGCUGCGGGAGCAGGUCGGUGGGGCAGGAGCAGCGGGUGAGCAGCUAAUCAGAAGCAGCGGGUCUGCCCGGGCUGCGCCUUGACCGCUUGACUCGCUCCUACGCAGCAGCGAGCGCCUGCUGAAAGGCCUCUGCUCCACCCCGGAGCUACUGGCCGUGGAGGCUGCGGCGGUGGUGGCGGCGGCGGCGGGGCGAAGAUGGAGAGCCCGCGAAGCUCCUCCCCAGGGGCAGGCUGCCCGCCACUUUGCUUUGAUAGCCUGGUCCGGGAGGCAAGUCCGCAGUCCCGCAGCUCCUCCGGCGCUGCACGCAUUCUUCCCGGCCAAGAAGGAACGCGGCGAGCUAACGGGAUCCAGAUGGCCCGGCCAUGCUAAGCAGAAGGAAAAGGACUGGCAAUGUGUGUUUGGGUCCCUGCUGCAGGAACUAGAGGCUGGGAGGAAAGUUUGGGCAGGCAAAUCUGGAUGCAUCCUUGGACAUAUUCCAUUAAGAGCGGUGCCACUCAACCUAUGGCGGUAAGCUGUGAUCCCAGACCAAGAGGCAUUACUGAGUAUGUGGCAACACAGAGUAUUGGAUAAAUGGUGUGUAAUAUAAUAUGAUGGACUCUUAAAACUUCCCUCAUCCUCAAGCUCUUUUUCAGUCUCCAACAAGCCCAGAGAGCCUGAAAUUGCACCAUUAGCACUUUACAGCAAGUUAUUAUUUGCCAUUGACACCACAGUGUGAAUUAGUUGAUUAGCUUGCUGGAGUACCAGGAGUGAUGGGGGUGGGGGAGAUCAUUUCAGAGCCUGGAAGGAUAGAUCUGGGCCUGACUCAGGUGCAGAGGAAGAGUGCCAGGCCCCCAAGGAGCUGGCACAGGGGGACUGCACCUUCCAGAGCACUGGACUGAGAAACAGAAAACCCACAUUCAAGUUCUGCCAUUGUCACUGACGAAGUUGUAUGCCCACAGUCAGGUCAUGCCCCCUUUCUGAGCCUCAGUGUCCUCAUCUGUGCAGUAGGUAGAGUGUGCUCUGGAUGGGGACAAGGAAGGUAGAGUGGUCUCUAAGUGUUAUCUUAAGGAGAACAUUCAAAGAUUUUAAUGUCCCAGCAAAGCUCUCAGCUGGGCCCAGCCCAGGGUCUCCCUAUGGUCUUGAGAAAGUGGAGGAAACAAGGUCUUGGGGGUAGAAAUUCUGGGCCAUAGGAGUGGGGAGUAGGGGGUUCCUGCUUUGUGGGAGACCCAAUUCCUGGUCUACACAGACUCAGAAAGGUAGAUAAAGAGAGGAGGAAAGAAGAGGGAGUGAGAGGGCUAACUCCAGCCUAUCCCCCUCACUGCAUUCGCUUUUAAAAUAAAACCCAUUUAUAUAUAAAUGUUGGCCUGAUGCCCAGUCUCUGUAGAAAAGCUUUUCUGUAUUAAACGCUACAAUGAAUUAAAUUAACC
rnacentral:lncRNA from 10 species